UACGGGGGGGGCAAGCGUUGUUCGGAAUUACUGGGCGUAAAGGGCUCGUAGGCGGCCAACUAAGUCAUACGUGAAAUCCCUCGGCUUAACCGGGGAACUGCGUCUGAUACUGGAUGGCUUGAGUUCGGGAGAGGGAUGCGGAAUUCCAGGUGUAGCGGUGAAAUGCGUAGAUAUCUGGAGGAACACCGGUGGCGAAGGCGGCGUCCUGGACCAAUACUGACACUGAGGAGCGAAAGCCAGGGGAGCAAACGGG
rnacentral:rRNA from 1 species